rnacentral:rRNA from 1 species
GAUGAACGCUGGCGGCGUGCCUAAUACAUGCAAGUCGAGCGAACGGACGAGAAGCUUGCUUCUCUGAUGUUAGCGGCGGACGGGUGAGUAACACGUGGAUAACCUACCUAUAAGACUGGGAUAACUUCGGGAAACCGGAGCUAAUACCGGAUAAUAUUUUGAACCGCAUGGUUCAAAAGUAAAAGACGGUCUUGCUGUCACUUAUAGAUGGAUCCGCGCUGCAUUAGCUAGUUGGUAAGGUAACGGCUUACCAAGGCAACGAUGCAUAGCCGACCUGAGAGGGUGAUCGGCCACACGGGAACGGAGACACGGUCCAGACUCCUACGGGAGGCAGCAGUAGGGAAUCUGCCGCAAUGGGCGAAAGCCUGACGGAGCAACGCCGCGUGAGUGAUGAAGGUCUUCGGAUCGUAAAACUCUGUUAUUAGGGAAGAACAUAUGUGUAAGUAACUGUGCACAUCUUGACGGUACCUAAUCAGAAAGCCACGGCUAACUACGUG